GUCAGUAUUUACUGUUCUAAAUUGUGCAAUCUAUGGUUCUUUUCUAAUUAUAAGUGGCUAAAGAAUUAUCAGGUCAAAACUAAGAAGCACACACCAAGUUCAAAAGACAAAAGGGCAUUUAAAUGCAGUUUUGACUUGCAUGUGUCUUCUGAAUAUACGCAAAUACAGUCAAUAUGAUUUGGUCGGUGUAUGUUUGUUCAUGGAGGCAAUGCCAUGUAACACUAAAGCCAGUAUUCAGUCGGUUCAACCUAACUAAAAUUUAGGUUGUUUUUUUUUUUUUUGCAGUGCCAGACUAGUUAAUGGCAUUCUGUUAAAAGACUGGUGUACCACGGGUGACUGAGCUUUUACCUGUGAUAUAAGUACAUUUUACUCUUUUUACCGAAGAGAACGUUUAAAACGAAGCGUUCCCCUUUUAUAUCAAUAUCAAUUGAAAUAAGACAAUAUCAAUUCAAAUCAGUUGUCCAGUUAUAAACUAGAGCACGUCACUCACACCGCUGCAAAGUCGUCUGAAACUAUGUUACAGCACAUUUAUAAUAUUCUUUGUUGCUGGAAGAGGACAGAUUAAGAGUUUGACUUCAGCCUUCUAGGUCAGUUAACGGUAUCCGGUGUUGGUAUCUAUGGUAACAGGACGGCAGCGGCGGGAAUAUCGCUUACAGGCUGCGACUCGACGGUCCCGCGGUCGUUUCUUGGUUAUAAGAGAGAUGUGGUCGUUGUAAAAUGGGAUAAUUGAUGGAAAGGCGCACGCUGGCGCGGCCGAAGUUGACGACGCUUCCAGCGGCUCGAAGCCCUGCUGACGUCAUCAGCGCGGCACCGGCGCGAGGCAGGACCUCGGGGUCAGAGGGCAAACUGGACUUUUUGGGAAUCCAGCGGUAUGAGGUUCUGCUGGAACCUUCACUGACUCGGGAUUACCAUAGUCCCAAAUCAAACAACUUACUUCGAUUUGCCUUUCGCAAAGGGACCUUUCCCACAAAACCAGCGACUUUAGGACUCUUGGAAGGAUAUGCCCUGACUUCAGUUCCUGCGAUUCUGUUGCCACCUCCCCUACCGGUUACGGUAAAGCAUGCCUUCUCCACGGAAUUGGUCAAAAACAGAGCCAGAAUAAAUAAUGAGGCAUGCAGAGUGCUUGCUGUUAUCACGCAACAAAAAGCUCAGGUCUACCCUGAUCCGUUCUGUGGAGCCUCAGCCUCAUUUCUUCAGAGGCUUUCAGAGAUCUCCUACCUGGAAGAGGAAACUGUGCAGCAGGAGAAGAUUAAGAAGCUCAAAAAGAGCAAAAGGCAGGACUCCUAAUCAUAGGCUGCCAGAUCAAGAGGAAAGAGCAGAGGCACGCGGUCUCUGUACACUAUGCGGCCAAAUUUUUUUAAUUAAUUUUUUUCCCCCCACUUGUAUCCAGAGCGGCCCCAGCAGAGCUUACUCCAGUGUUCACUGUGCUGUAAGAAUCAUGUGCUGAAUAAUAAAAUAUUUUUUUUUUUUUUACGCCA
rnacentral:lncRNA from 1 species